GGAACCUGUUCAGUGUCAUUGAUUGCACCUGGCUCCCACCUGAACAACUACCUGAAGUGCAGUGCUGUUGUUGCCAUGCAAAUGCUGUGAAGUGUAUCUCCAGUGAUUCUUGCCUGGGAGGCCUGGAGAAUGCUGCAAUGAAAUUCCCCUUAAUAAGUUUUAUAAGCAGACAUACUCAAAAGUUAUUGGAGCCAACUAAAAGUAAAUGCUUAGGAGUUUUGGGGUUACUGUGUGAGGUGACCACCGUCCCAGGUGACAUUGUUCAUUGUCUGUGGCUUUAGAAAAUCAUUGGAACACACCUACUACAUCCCUCCCUAGGCACUGUGGAGGUACAGAAUAUAUUUCUUCAGUUCUUAGAGUGUAGGUGACAGGCUUAUUUCAAGGGUGAAGAAGAUACUGCAGAAAUGCUGUGUG